UUGUAUGCACUUUGUCAGUCAGUUGAGAUUAUAAACCGGAAAUAAAAAUGGGUUCAGGGGAUGAUGACCAUGUUGGUCAAAGUUUGUUGUGAGAGGAACAAGAUCCUGGAGGAGAUCUGGGAGACCGAGACUCAAAGAAGGAUUGAAUGUUCAGAGCUUCUUUCGGAUGGUAGUGGACAGCCGACUCAUGAUUUGAAUUCGAGGACGAAUUCUUUAUUAGUGGGGGAGAAUUGUAACGACCCGAAUUCUUUAAACCGAAAUUGGUAUUCGGUUUGAUUUAAAAUUUGGACCCAGACAAUAAACCAAUUGCUUAUAUAUUAAAUUGUUAAUUAUAAGUCUCAUAAAAACCUAAAGCUAUGUGCCGUCAGUGGAGAUUCAACCUUCUCUAAGCCAUCUUCUUCUCCAUCUCCAGCCACCAUGAAAGAGGAGCCAUCACACCAUUUGAAAAGAGAGAUUAAAGCUCAUCAGAUACGUUUAUGGAGAACUGAAGAACGAUGGAUCAAAACUAAGUAUUUCGAAACCAAAUUUUGAGGUUAUGUUCUACACUCAUAGAUCUAUGUUUAUCAAAAAGCGGAUCAUCAUUUGGAUAUUUCUUCUAAUAGUUAUGGUCAUUUCUUUGGGGCUGCUCGUUGUAGAUCGGAUCCGCCGAUAAGUCAACUUCAUCAGUGUUUUCUCGUUGAUCUAGAAGGAACCAGCAAACGAGCGAGAUAUCAAUCGAAAGAUCUCGUUGUCAGCUUUCCAGAUCAUCUUCCCGAUCGUAAAACCAAGGCACGGUUGGAAAGUUAUUGACGUUGCUUCUUGGCCAAGGAUAAGCUGAAGCUUUAGUGAUGCAGAUACAGUUCCGACCAGUUUCAGCGUAAAGGCCAAACGGCCGACCUAAAUGAAAGCUUUCAAUCUGGAAAUUUGUCACUAAGUAUUUCACUCUUUUAUCUAUCGUCUCCAAGAAGCGGAUUGUCAUUUCGAGUUAUUUUCUGAAAGUUGUGUUUGUUUUCGUGAGAAAUAUUACUGCAGUCUUCGUUUGCGACCAGCCUGGAGGUGAAGCUAAUUUGGUUAAUCAAAUGGUGUCCGAUCGGAGUGAACUCGGUGUCUAUGGACAGAGGACAUAUAGGACUACAUUAUGACCGGACGGAUUGAAAAGUUAACGAGAGUUCCAGAGUUGCUGUUUCAGAGUCGUCAAGGUUCAUUAUGUGUUUUCUCAGGUUAUCUUCAGAACUCGUGGCAAAGGUGAGACUGGCGGACAGAAGUUAUUGCUAUUGGAUGGGUACUUUGGGAGUUUUAUUUCUUAUUUUCAGACUUCGGUUUUAUGCUUUUAUCGAUAUUUUCCGAGAAUUAUGUGAAUAUUGGAUUUAUGGUUAGUUAUUGGAUUUAUAAUGAGUAAUAAAUUGAGUAUUUUGAAGAUUA